rnacentral:lncRNA from 1 species
GCUACCUUACCAUCCUUCAUCUAAAAAUUUCCUCUUCACUUCUCAGCUCCCCAGGUUUUCUGCGUAAAGCUGUGAGGCAGCGGAUGAGACCCACGGCCAGAGGAUAAAGGUGGAUACUCUGGAUGUGGGAGGACCAAGCAAGGUUGUGUGUGUCCUAACAGAAGAUAUCAGUGGUGAAGCACGGCUCCCGAGGACGACUGCAGCAGGGAUGGCUUCUCAGUGUUACCUUGAACUUGCUCUGACCAGAAGUGGGAGAUGAGGCAUUGCUUGCAACUGACUUAUGUCCUGAAGAGGAAGAAAGGGAUGAAAUAGCUGGAAGUUGUGAAAAAAAGUGAACAUUAUGAUAAGUAAUGGACAUCUCCUAAG